GACGAACGCUGGCGGCGUGCUUAACACAUGCAAGUCGAACGAAGUGGCGAACGGGUGAGUAACGCGUAAUCAACCUGCCCUUCAGAGGGGGACAACAGUUGGAAACGACUGCUAAUACCGCAUACGGAAGGAGGGGAUUGCGUCUGAUUAGCUAGUUGGAGGGGUAACGGCCCACCAAGGCGAUGAUCAGUAGCCGGUCUGAGGGGAUUGACGGCCACAUUGGGACUUGGAAACGGCCCAGACUCCUACGGGAGGCAGCAGUGGGGAAUCUUCCGCAAUGGACGAAAGUCUGAAGAAGCAAAGCCGCGUGAGUGAUGACGGCCUUCGGGUUGUAAAGCUCUGUUAAUCGGGACGCGGUACCGGAAUAGAAAGCAACGGCUAACUACGUGCCAGCAGCCGCGGUAAUAC
rnacentral:rRNA from 1 species